AUUGAACGCUGGCGGCGUGCCUAACACAUGCAAGUCGAGCGGUAACAGGUGUAGCAAUACAUGCUGACGAGCGGCGAACGGGUGAGUAAUGCUUCGGAAUCUACCCAAUGGUGGGGAAUAACCAGCCGAAAGGUUGGCUAAUACCGCAUACGUCUCACGGGAGAAAGCAGGGGAUCGCAAGACCUUGCGCCAAUGGAUGAGCCGAAGUCGGAUUAGCUAGUGGUAGGGUAACGGCCUACCAAGGCGACGAUCCGUAGCUGGUCUGAGAGGACGACCAGCCACACUGGGACUGAGACACGGCCCAGACUCCUACGGGAGCAGCAGUGGGGAAUAUUGGACAAUGGGGGAAACCCUGAUCCAGCGACGCCGCGUGUGUGAAGAAGGCCUGCGGGUUGU
rnacentral:rRNA from 1 species